rnacentral:tRNA from 1 species
GCUUGUGUGGAUCAAUGGUUAGAGUGUCAGCCCAAGCACCAAAGGGCCAUGGGUUCGAUUCCCAGUCACGGGCA